CAGUAGCCGCGGGAAUACAGAGGGUGCAAGCGUUAAUCGGAAUUACUGGGCGUAAAGCGCGCGUAGGUGGUUUGUUAAGUUGGAUGUGAAAGCCCCGGGCUCAACCUGGGAACUGCAUCCAAAACUGGCAAGCUAGAGUACGGUAGAGGGUGGUGGAAUUUCCUGUGUAGCGGUGAAAUGCGUAGAUAUAGGAAGGAACACCAGUGGCGAAGGCGACCACCUGGACUGAUACUGACACUGAGGCACGAAAGCGUGGGGAGCAAACAGGAUUAGAUACCCCUGUAGUCCCUGUCUCUUAUAC
rnacentral:rRNA from 1 species